UCCAGUCUACGAUCGCACGUAGAGCGGCGAAGAACGCAUUUCUGGAUCUAAGUGAUCUUGAAAAUAAAAAACUUAUAAAGUGUUUUCAUGUAAUAACGUUUACAAUAAUAAAUUACUGACGUUAUAACGGCAAUAAUUCGCAAUUAGUUCGUGAUAAUCCAAGCAUUCAUCUGUCCGUAUCGGUCAAAAAAUGCCACCAGCAGGCCACGAGACGAAGAACCUUCUGAUGACGUAUUUCAUCCUUAUUUUUCUAUUAAUCUCGCUUUGGGUAUUAUACUCGGGAUUGUUUUUUUAAGCACAACAGACAUUCCUCACCAUGGGCUGAACAACAAAGAAAGCAAGGCGGAUGCAUUCAAAGGAUCCAAGAUCGUCACCUCGUUCAGAAUUCGCCAAUUCUCUUAUUAUAUUUUCUACAAUUUAGGCGCCUGAAGACAUGUUCUCCACAAAUCAUUUUUGACUGUUUAAUGACCGAUUUCUGUGACGCGCAUGAUUUAAAAAUAUAUUU